rnacentral:rRNA from 1 species
GAUGAACGCUGGCGGCGUGCCUAAUACAUGCAAGUCGAGCGAACAGACGAGGAGCUUGCUCCUUCGACGUUAGCGGCGGACGGGUGAGUAACACGUAGGUAACCUACCUAUAAGACUGGGAUAACUUCGGGAAACCGGAGCUAAUACCGGAUAAUAUUUCGAACCGCAUGGUUCGAUAGUGAAAGAUGGCUUUGCUAUCACUUAUAGAUGGACCUGCGCCGUAUUAGCUAGUUGGUAAGGUAACGGCUUACCAAGGCAACGAUACGUAGCCGACCUGAGAGGGUGAUCGGCCACACUGGAACUGAGACACGGUCCAGACUCCUGCGGGAGGCAGCAGUAGGGAAUCUUCCGCAAUGGGCGAAAGCCUGACGGAGCAACGCCGCGUGAGUGAUGAAGGUCUUCGGAUCGUAAAACUCUGUUAUUAGGGAAGAACAAACGUGUAAGUAACUGUGCACGUCUUGACGGUACCUAAUCAGAAAGCCACGGCUAACUACGUG